CGCGAGCCGACUGGACACGGACACACACGACGGACGAUUUCUUACUGUUAAUUCGAAGACAAACACGAACGAACGGACCGGGCCGGCUUGGCGAGCAACGCGUCUCCAAGACAAGUCUCUUAAGGAAACGAUCAUUCUUAUAUACUAUAUAUACAUAUACAUAGUAACGUUCUCGCUCGCCGCUCAAGGAAACAGUUCGACGACGUGGUGUGACACGUAAUACGAGUGAAAACAUUCGAAACACGCGCGCUCCGACCUGAUCACACGAGACCUCUUCGAAGAAACGGGCAGUGACUGUGAGGAAACGAACAGGAUAUCACGGACUGCUAUCCAGUGCGCUGUUUUCGUUUGUGAAACACCGUUUACGCACGUCCUCGAACACGUCUUCUUGGGAUCGCCGCGAUCGUACAGAUUGACGAAUGACGACGUAACAGAGAGCUGGCUGGUGCGCGGAUACCGGGACACAAGAGGGGACAGCAUCUUUCAAAUCGCCACAGCAACGUUUAUCAAACCAUAAAACUGGUGUGUCGUUGACCAUCCGGAAAACACGGGAUUGGUUGCGCAAAGGGUUGGCUCAGCAUGCGUGCAAUCCAUCAAAGAGUCAAGAGUUGGCCCUCCUUCAAUCGGCGUUCGCAUUCUUCGAGGCGAGCAAGAGCGCGCGCGUGCACGAACGCCGAAAGAAUCGUGCAUAUGCAUAUCGAUCGAUCGGUGGUCGGUCGGUCGGUCGCGUGUUACACGCCUUGCACGAACGAGCUCCAAGUAUAAGUACGUAAUACGCAGGAAUGAAGGGGCAUGCGUCACGGGACAUCUGCCGCGGGCGCGUG